rnacentral:rRNA from 1 species
UGUGUAGGCGGCGUGAUUAGUCUUUCGUUAAAUCCCAGGGCUCAACCUUGGAAUCGCGAAGGAAACGGUCAUGCUAGAGGACGUGAGGGGUCUGGGGAACUCAGAGUGUAGGGGUGAAAUCCGUUGAUAUUCUGGGGAACACCAAAAGCGAAGGCACCAGACUGGCGCGUUCCUGACGCUGAGACACGAAAGCGUGGGUAGCGAACG